rnacentral:lncRNA from 1 species
CUGUGGACAGAGUGUUAUUGACUGAUAUUAGAUGUGGAUAUUGAGCCGAUGUGUUUCAUUUUAGGGACAGAGCUUGAGGUGGUUGAAACGGCAGAAGUAAAAGAAAGCAUUACGGAGGAGGAACUACGGCCAGAAGGUGCUGAGGGCUCCACAGAGACUAAAGUGCGCAGUGAGGUCUCUACAGAGCAGCAGGCCCCUUUAGCUACAGUUUCAGACGUUGAUGAAAAACAAAAAGAGGAGACAACUACCAUUGAAGCAGUGGUUACAGAGGCCAUUGUGGAAAAAUCAGAGGAUACUCAGGACCCUCCUGUGAAGGAUAGCCCAGAUAGUCCUGUACCGGACACUAUAGAGGAAGCCCAAUCUGAUGUAGCUGAAACUAACAUAGAAAGGCAGGAGUCGUUGCAAGGGCAAGACAAUACUCCUCAGACAGAGAUGGAGUCAAUCUGCACAGAGGAGACUACAGAAACAAACCCUCCAACAAGCUCAUGUUCUCAGUCUUCUCAAAUCACACUCCCUGUUUUGGAAGAAGCAGAGCCAGUUGUUAUGGACUUGGAGGAGGUGGGAUCUAAGGCACGGCAAGAGGAGGCGAUACACCGGACUCCUCCCCCUGCUCCUCAGACAGAAAUGCCCCCUGCAUCUGACACUGAUGAUAUAAUGGUCCAGUCUGAGGAUGAAGAAGAGGAGGAUGAGCAGGGUGUGGAGGAAUCCUUAGAGGAGUCGCUCCUCAAAGAUGAGAGUCCGGGAGAAGAUGACCAGUCCAGGAAGGAGAUGCAAGAGGAUAUGAAGCCAGAGCUGGUCCUCGAUGAGUCGUCAAACAUUAGCCACGGUGACGAGAGCAGCAGCGGUUUCCUCGGCUCGCCGGCUGAGGCAGACUCUCAGAUGCUGUCCAUGGAACUCAGCCUGAUGCCAGCCGGCAGGACCCGUUCUGAUUCGCUGCUAACCGAAACGGAGGACUCGUUGCCUUUUGAUCCACUGAAGCCCGAUGGAGAUAAAGUGAAGCGCAGGGGUUCUCCAGGACGCUCACGGGUAAAGCAGGUGGAUGUCAGACACCAGACUUUUUCCUCAGUGACGUUGAAUUCUGAUGGGUUUGGGUAACACACUAGUCCAAAAGUAGUAAUUUUGAUGCCGAUACAUUUAUUUUCUGACCUUUCAGGGCAGAGGCAGUGGUUUCCCAGGGAAGCGGCGGCCACGUGGUGGUGGCGGCGGCAGCAGCAGUAGUGGUGGAAGAGGGCGUGGACGGUCACGUCUCAAAGCAAUGGCCUCUUGCAUUGAUGCCUUUCUUGUAAGUUUUUCACUUCAUCUGCCAGCCCUUCCUUUACUACUAUUU